CACGAACGCUGGCGGCAGGCUUAACACAUGCAAGUCGAGCGCCCCGCAAGGGGAGCGGCAGACGGGUGAGUAACGCGUGGGAAUCUACCCAUCUCUACGGAAUAACGCAUGGAAACGUGUGCUAAUACCGUAUACGUCCUUCGGGAGAAAGAUUUAUCGGAGAUGGAUGAGCCCGCGUUGGAUUAGCUAGUUGGUGGGGUAAAGGCCUACCAAGGCGACGAUCCAUAGCUGGUCUGAGAGGAUGAUCAGCCACACUGGGACUGAGACACGGCCCAGAUUCCUACGGGAGGCAGCAGUGGGGAAUAUUGGACAAUGGGCGCAAGCCUGAUCCAGCCAUGCCGCGUGAGUGAUGAAGGCCCUAGGGUUGUAAAGCUCUUUCACCGGUGAAGAUAAUGACGGUAACCGGAGAAGAAGCCCCGGCUAACUUCGUGCCGGCAGCAGCCGCGGUAA
rnacentral:rRNA from 1 species